rnacentral:tRNA from 2 species
GCUCCCGUAGCUCAGGAGGAUAGAGCAGUAGUUUCCUAAACUAUGUGUCAGAGGUUCGAGUCCUCUCGGGAGCA